UCUGCAACUCGACUACAUGAAGCUGGAAUCGCUAGUAAUCGCGAAUCAGAAUGUCGCGGUGAAUACGUUCCCGGGUCUUGUACACACCGCCCGUCACACCAUGGGAGUCGGGAAUGCCCGAAGUCAGUGACCCAACCGGAAGGAGGGAGCUGCCGAAGGCAGGCUCGAUAACUGGGGUGAAGUCGUAACAAGGUACC
rnacentral:rRNA from 1 species